AUGCCGCAAGGAAGACGAGGAGGCGGCGAGCAAGGCUGCACGGAGCAGGGCCAUGCUCCGGCGACUGUUCACCCAGGCCACGGCGAGGACGUUCCCUGCCAUUCGCCGCCGCCGUUCCCCAUCACCGAGAUGAAGAAGGAGCAUGGGCACGAGCAGCAGGCCAGCCUUCCCCAUGGCUGCUCGGAGCAGGAUCAUUCGCCGUCGACCGGCAACCCAGGCCGCGACAGCGCCACGCCGCCAUUCCCCUCCACCGAUGAAGCGUCUGACUCUGAGCAGCAGCAGCAGCCCGGGUGCCCUACAGAUCUUCCUGAAGGCGCCAUUGUCGAGAUCCUGUCGAGGGUGCCCUACAGGUCGCUCUGCCGCUUCAAGUGCGUCUCCAAGCCAUGGCUGGCCCUCUGCUCCGAUCCGGAAGUCCACAAGAGGUCGCCGCAGACCUUGUCUGGCUUCUUCUUCAUCGAGCGUGGGCGUUUCAAUUUCCGUAAUUUGUCGGGAAGAGGCCCCCCAUUAGUCGACCCUUCGCUCCAUUUCUUGCGCGAGAGCUACGAUUGCUUUUCUGUCGAGCAGUGCUGCAGCAGCCUCCUCCUUUGCAAGUGCUGGGAAUCGCGUCAUGAUGAGGAAGACGAAUACGAUUACGUCGUGUGCAAUCCUAUGACCGGGCAGUGGACUGUGUUGCCUCCUGUGGUAUGGCUGGACGAAGAGGAUGGUGACAUUGUGUAUUUCGAACCAAUAAUGGAUAUCUUCUUGGGUUUCGACACAGCAGCUCCGUCCCGCUUUGUGGUGUUUGUGCCCCUGACCAACUGUUUCUGCGAAUUCACAGAGAUGGCCAUCUACUCGUCGGAAACCGGACGAUGGAACAAGGUGCAGAGUGAGUGGGGUUACAAAACUAUUCUGGUCGGGAAUUCAGAAUGUGUCUUCCUGAAUGGCACUAUGCAUUUGGCUACACAUUAUGCCUCAGUGGUCACGGUCGACGCGGAAGGGAAGAUCUGGAGGGAGAUUGAAAUGCCAGAGGACAUGCCAAACAAAAAUCAUUUGGCUUCCAUUGGGCAGUCCCAAGGACGCUUGUAUGCGUGGCAAAUUGAUAACGAUCAUGAUUGCCAACUCUAUGUGUGGGUUCUUGAAGAUUCUGGUGGUGGAAACUGGACCCUCAAGUAUACUGUCAACGUUUCAGAGCUGUUCGGGAGGCAACGUGGCGAAGAUGACAUGUCCUAUAAGGUGUUCGCGAUUCAUCCAGAUUGUGAUUUGAUUUUCCUUACCGAUGAGGAGGAGAUGGCAGUGUCAUAUGAUAUGGAGAAUCAGAAAGUCAAUGCUACAUGCACUUUUUCUCAAGAAUUCCAGGGUGUUCUGCCUUACAUUCCAUGUUUUGCUGAAUGGUUGUUUUCUGAUGGUCACUGA
rnacentral:rRNA from 1 species